rnacentral:rRNA from 1 species
GACGAACGCUGGCGGCGUGCUUAACACAUGCAAGUCGAACGGAAAGGCCCUGCUUUUGUGGGGUGCUCGAGUGGCGAACGGGUGAGUAACACGUGAGUAACCUGCCCUAGACUUUGGGAUAACUUCAGGAAACUGGGGCUAAUACCGGAUAGGAGCUCCUGCUGCAUGGUGGGGGUUGGAAAGUUUCGGCGGUUGGGGAUGGACUCGCGGCUUAUCAGCUUGUUGGUGGGGUAGUGGCUUACCAAGGCUUUGACGGGUAGCCGGCCUGAGAGGGUGACCGGCCACAUUGGGACUGCGAUACGGCCCAGACUCCUACGGGAGGCAGCAGUGGGGAAUAUUGCCCAAUGGGCGGAAGCCUGAUGCAGCAACGCCGCGUGCGGGAUGACGGCCUGCGGGUUAUAAACCGCUUUCGCCUGUGACGACGCGUGAGUGACGGUAAUGGGUAAAGAAGCACCGGCUAACUACGUG